rnacentral:tRNA from 4 species
GGUCGUAUAGCUCAGUUGGUUAGAGCGCACGAUUCACAUUCGUGAGGUCCCUGGUUCGAGUCCAGGUGCGACCACAA